AAGUCGAGCGGACAGAAGGGAGCUUGCUCCCGGAUGUUAGCGGCGGACGGGUGAGUAACACGUGGGUAACCUGCCUGUAAGACUGGGAUAACUCCGGGAAACCGGAGCUAAUACCGGAUAGUUCCUUGAACCGCAUGGUUCAAGGAUGAAAGACGGUUUCGGCUGUCACUUACAGAUGGACCCGCGGCGCAUUAGCUAGUUGGUGGGGUAAUGGCUCACCAAGGCGACGAUGCGUAGCCGACCUGAGAGGGUGAUCGGCCACACUGGGACUGAGACACGGCCCAGACUCCUACGGGAGGCAGCAGUAGGGAAUCUUCCGCAAUGGACGAAAGUCUGACGGAGCAACGCCGCGUGAGUGAUGAAGGUUUUCGGAUCGUAAAGCUCUGUUGUUAGGGAAGAACAAGUGCGAGAGUAACUGCUCGCACCUUGACGGUACCUAACCAGAAAGCCACGGCUAACUACGUGCCAGCAGCCGCGGUAAUACGUAGGUGGCAAGCGUUGUCCGGAAUUAUUGGGCGUAAAGGGCUCGCAGGCGGUUUCUUAAGUCUGAUGUGAAAGCCCCCGGCUCAACCGGGGAGGGUCAUUGGAAACUGGGAAACUUGAGUGCAGAAGAGGAGAGU
rnacentral:rRNA from 1 species